CAGUAGCCACGGGAAAACGUAGGGUGCAAGCGUUAAUCGGAAUUACUGGGCGUAAAGCGUGCGCAGGCGGUUUGAUAAGUCUUGUGUGAAAUCUAUGGGCUCAACCCAUAGUCUGCACAGGAAACUGUCGGGCUUGAGAGUGGGAGAGGUGAGUGGAAUUUCCGGUGCAGCGGUGAAACGCGUAGAUAUCGGAAGGAACACCAGUGGCGAAAGCGACUUCCUGGUCGAAUACUGACGUUCAUGUGCGAAAGCGUGGGGAGCAAACAGGAUUAGAUACCCCUGUAGUCCCUGUCUCUUAUAC
rnacentral:rRNA from 1 species